CCGAAGUGGACAUUCCCGGGAGGUCACUCUCCCCGGGCUCUGUGCAGGUGGCACAGAGGAGCACAGGGCUCAGGGCCCCGUGACGGACAGUCCUUUUCCACAACAUCGGGGAUGAAGCCGGGCCUGGAGCCUGUGCCUGCACAUUCCUACAGCUUCUCCUGUGGACAAUGACUGCUGAGACAAACCAUGCAGGAAACAGCC